rnacentral:rRNA from 1 species
AAUCAACGCUGGCGGCGUGCCUAACACAUGCAAGUCGAGCGAGAAAAGGGGGGCAACUCUCUGAGUAAAGCGGCGCACGGGUGAGUAACACGUGGGUAAUCUGCCCUGGAGUGGGGAAUAACACCGGGAAACCGGUGCUAAUACCGCAUACGAUCACGAUGUCUGCGGACGUUGUGAUGAAAGGAGCAAUUCGCUCUAGGAGGAGCCCGCGGCUGAUUAGCUAGUUGGUGAGGUAAUGGUUCACCAAGGCGACGAUCAGUAUCCGGUCUGAGAGGACGGUCGGACACACUGGAACUGAGACACGGUCCAGACUCCUAC